rnacentral:tRNA from 1 species
GGCAAUGUGGUCUAGGAAAGCACUUGAGUCUUGGAAUCAAGAGACUUAGGUUAAAAUCCUAGCUGUGCUA